AAGCGAUUUAUUUGUGUAGCUCAUUAUACAUGCAGAUUCCGAUGUUUACGUCAUUGUACUUUCAUAUAGGAUAAUAUACAAUGACGUAAACAUCGGAAUCUGCAUGUAUAAUGAGCUACACAAAUCAAUCGCUU
rnacentral:miRNA from 1 species